rnacentral:rRNA from 1 species
AUUGAACGCUGGCGGCAGGCCUAACACCUGCAAGUCGAGCGAGCGGCGGACGGGUGAGUAAUGUAUGGGGACUGCACGAUAGAGGGGGAUAACUACUGGAAACGGUAGCUAAUACCGCAUAUUAUCGGAUAACCCAGAUGGGAUUAGCUAGUAGGUGAGGUAAUGGCUCACCUAGUCUACGAUCCCGAGCUGGUCUGAGAGGAUGAUCAGCCAAACUGGAACUGAGAUACGGCCCAGAGUCCUACGGAGGAAGCAGUGGGGAAUAGUGCACAAUGGGCGCAAGCCUGAUGCAGCCAGGACGCGUGGAUGAAGAAGGCCCUAGGGUUGUAAAGUACUUUCAGUCGGGAGGCGUUACCGACAGAAGAAGCACCGUCUAACUCCGUGCCAGCAGCCGCGGUAAUUC